rnacentral:rRNA from 1 species
AUUGAACGCUGGCGGAAUGCUUUACACAUGCAAGUCGAACGGCAGCACGGACUUCGGUCUGGUGGCGAGUGGCGAACGGGUGAGUAACAUAUCGGAACGUAUCCAAUAAUUGGGGAUAACUAAUCGAUAGGUUGGCUAAUACCGCAUACGCCCUACGGGGGAAAGCUGGGGAUCUUCGGACCUUGCGUUAAUGGAGCGGCUGAAAUCUGAUUAGCUAGUUGGUGAGGUAAAGGCUCACCAAGGCGACGAUCAGUAGCUGGUAGGAGAGGACGACCAGCCACACUGGAACUGAGACACGGUCCAGACUCCUACGGGAGGCAGCAGUGGGGAAUUUUGGACAAUGGGCGCAAGCCUGAUCCAGCCAUUCCGCGUGAGUGAAGAAGGCCUUCGGGUUGUAAAGCUCUUUCGCAAGGGAAGAAAACUUACUUUCUAAUAAAGAGUGAGGUUGACGGUACCUUGAUAAGAAGCACCGGCUAACUACGUGCCAGCAGCCGCCGUAA